UUUUUGUGUGUGUGUGUGUG
rnacentral:miRNA from 1 species